ACUUAGACUGGUGAAGGCCAGAGGUAAGAUGAGAUCAAUGAAACCAUAGAUAGGAACGUGUGUUCCUCCCUUUUUCACUUUGAUUACCUAUCAGUGUUGGUUUAUACAAAAUAAUGUUAGCCUGAAAGAUUUUCUAAAGGACUCCUACAAAGGUACCUCUGAUGGCUCAUAAAAAUAUCUGAAUCUUACUAGCCAUAGGGAAAAUAAUGUAUUUUCUGUCUUUAAAGUCACACUUUUGGAGUCCAGGAGGCUUCUUGCCAAUCUCAGUUAUACUGGUUUUGCUCGUAUUUAUUGGUUAUCACCCUAUGGACUGAGUGAUCAGAAAGGAAAUGCCUGCGGUGUCACUCCAGUGUAGUAAGUGCCCAUGCAACCUCUGACUCUAAGCACCUCACUGUGUGUCUGUGUGCGUUUGGUUUAGUUUCACAAUCUAUGGAAUGAAGCCAUUCAGAUUAGGAGCCCCUAGAAUUGUGUUGAGGCGAUCCAGACAAUUAAAUGGGAAAAUACUGUGUUAUUUAUUCUGAGUAUGAAAGAAACAAAACAUGAAAGACAGGGAAGACAAGGAACUGUGAUGGGAAGAGCACAGGACUGAUGUGCGGGAAACCUGGACACCAGUGCUCAAAUGCUACUUCUGUUACUGAAUGUCAGUGACUUUGACAAGUCACAUCGACUUUCUAAGGGGUUAAACUAGAUAGUCUCUGUAGACUCCUUUUUC
rnacentral:lncRNA from 1 species